CUUUGAUUUCUCUGUAUUUCGUGCAUGUGUUAUGCAGUGGACAAGUGAGAAAAAGUCGUGGUCUAUUUGACAUGAAGAAGUUGAGGGAAAUGUGUUGCAAACCAUGAUGUUUUCCUUAUAUCCAAUUGAUUUGGUUGCCGGACCCCAUCGCCACUACACAAUCACAUAUGGAGGCUACUACUUAUUUGGAGAAUAAAGAUACCAAUAUGUUUAAUCUUUUCAGUGCAGGGGUCUACAGAUGCAUCACCACCAAGGAAUGCGUUGCGAGGAAGCACAUGGAGUAGUGGUGCUGCAACACUGGUGCUCAUGUCACCUACUAGAACAAGCACAAGCACAACCAUAUGCAGUCUUUUGACCUAUCGAUGCUUGUGUGAAUUCAUAAGCCUGACUGAAUCUGCCGAUGCCAGAAGGAACUUUGAAUUCGUAUGCCAUGUAUGGAACAUGUCAUUCAGAUGGUCUUUGGUUAUUCAUCUAACAAAAUAUAUGGAUGCAAGUGAAAUUUGUAACAAGGCAAAGAUUUUUGUUUCAUUUUGCAUGGAACAAGGCAAAGAUUUCACUGUCGUAUUUUUCAUUAUGUAUAGUGAAUACUUUAUUGGGCUGCAAUGCAUUUACCAUUUGAAUUAUCAUGUCGAUAAAAUCGCUCCAUGCGAGCGGUUGCCAAAUUUCCUUGUAAAAGUACCACUAGAAGCUUGUUCUUCUAAUUUGUGUGUGCUUUCAUCAAAUAGUGAUAGGCUUAUCA